GUGGUUCCAACUAAAACAGGACGACCUUGUCUGAACAUGUAUUCAACUUCUUGGCGAACAUAUUCCCAUUUUCCCCUAGCAGUAGCAAAAGCUUGGAUAGGUAAAUCUUUGCGUAUGUUUGGCAAGUUUGUGGGCACUUCAAUUACAGGUGUCUGAAACAUUUUCAAGAACUCCUUCUCCUCAGUUUUUGCGGUUCCAGUCAUCCCUGAUAACUUUGGAUAGAGCUUGAACAGCGACUGGUACGUGAUUUGUGCCACUAUAACUGAAUCAGCCUGAAUCUUC
rnacentral:misc_RNA from 1 species